UGACAGGGAAGACCUUAAACCUUGUGCUGUACUUCCACUCAGUUAUACUUGGAAGAGAGCUAACUUGGAGUGAUCUUUGUGUUUUCAUUUUUUUAAGUCGGCUUUUUAUUGGAGCAUCAUUUGCAUGCAGAAAAGUGCGCAAGUCUUCAGUGUAGAGCUCGGUGAAUGUUCUCAAAGUGAAACUAGCCUCCAGAUGAAGAAAGAGAACGAAUCUUACCAGCACAUUCAAGACCUUUCACUCCCUCUCCCAGUCACUACCUCCCUCCCUCAAAGGUUCCCACGUGAUCUCCUGUUCCAGCUGAUUCUUCCUGGAGGUCUUACCCAGCUCUGCUUACAGGAUUUGCACAGGGCCUGGAGGAACCAUGUGCAGCUGGAAGCCCGUGCUUGCAGUUUAGGCAUGAAUGAUUGGCACCAGAAUGUGACUGUGGUUUGCUGGUCACCCUCCUACCCCCAGCAGCAACAGGUGCCUCAUCCUUCUUGCAAGACUAUUAGGUGCUUCUUUCCAGAAAAGAACUGGGCAAACUGCUUAAUGACUCAGUUUGCUCAUUUGAAAAAUGGGGUCAUAAUAUUAUCCCAACUUGAGGGGUUGUUCUGAGCAUUCAGUGAAAUAACCCUUAUAAAGCAAUUAGCACAGUUCCUGCCUAAUGUUAGCUUUUAAAAUUAUAACUGCACAUCUCCCCUUUCCACCUGGGAGGAGAGCUGUAACUGGCGAUGUUGGUGCUCCAGUCAAGGGCCGCCAGCCUAUCUUCUGAAGCUACAGAGUCCUGAUUCCAUUGGGGAGCUACACACAAGGGAUAAAGUGCCCCCAGGUUUGCAGGAUUCCUGCCCAUGUCUUAUUUCUGCUCACCCAGCCUGAUCCCCCAUCUCGGCUGAUUCACUUUGUUGAGCAGGUUAUGGUUUCCAAAGCUCACGUUUAGAAAGCGCAUAAUUUCCCUUCUUUGAAGGGAUGACUGGCUGCAGAGUUUAAGAAUAAGCAAUAACAAAUUCAAUCAUUGUAGCAGUAACUAUUGGUUGGCCUGGAUGAGUUUCUUUCUAGCACACAUGGCAAGAGAGAGAGGGUGAAAGAGAGCAGGCAAACCCUUUGCUUUAGCCUGUAUGGGGAACCGGGGACCCUUUCCCAAUGGAAAGGAGCAACGCUACUUGGUUCUGGGUGAGACACAAUGUGACAGUGACAUGCCCCCAAAUUCAUAAACGUUGGAGGGGGUUGACAGCUGGUGUUUUAAGGGCUGCUGAUUUAGUGGCUAAUUUUAUUUAUCUUGCUUCCUUUGCCAAGAUCAGCUGCUUUUUUGCCCUGGGCCAUUAAGUCCCAGGGGGUCUAUAGGCAGCAAUUUACAAAUCUGUUCCCUUCCCGUGGCUAAGGUUCUCUCUACUGUCAUGGGUUUUUCAUAGAGAAAAAAGAGAAAUCUAGAGGCCAUAUAACCAGAGUCAUCUUUAAUAGUACAUCAAAAGCUGCCCGAUGUGGGUAUUUAUUUAUAUUUAGACUUGAGUGAAAAGUCCCAGGAGGCUGCAGCCAGAGCAGAUUUGGUUCAAUAUCUGCAAAGGAAUUUAAAUUAGCUUACCAAUGAAGAAAUCUUCCUACAUAGAUAAAAAAAAGUGGAACUUGAAUCUGUUUGACCUUGGGACAAAGACAGGCUAGAAACCACUCUACAUGAACACAUGUCUUUGUGGGUGUGCUUAUGUGUAAAUUGGGCCAGGGGUGGAGGGAGGGAAAGAGCAUCCUCAGGCAGAAUCUACGUUUGUGUUAGAAUGAAAGGAGGGACUGAUAUCUUGUUAUAAGGGCAGAUUUUUUAAAUUAAUGUUACAAAAAUUUCUGAGAAUCUGGUAUAAAUAAAAUAAUAGCAGAUGAAUAUGAAAAUGAUCUUGCUGGAGAUUAACAGUUGUAUAAUGGACACCCUGCUGUAUAACAUUUAUGACUAAUGCAUCAAUAUCUAUUAUCUUUAAAUCUAUCCAGGAUUAACAGCUUUAACCCUGUUAGCAUGUAAGAUUUAAGGGAUAAAAUCAAUGCAUGUAUAUUUUUGAUAAUCAAUGUUAAUCAAUUCAUUGAAAACAAUCACCUAGCCAACUUCGAUUAAAUGCUCAGGGGGUGGCCUUUUAUUCUAAUGGUCUUGAUCUAUUUCCAAACUGGAGCUAUGUGCUGGCAAUUUAAGGUCUUUAUAAUCUAUGUCAAUGUUGGAAUAACUAAAGAAAGGAAAAAAGGAAUUCUCCAGAUCCAAGCAGGAAAACUAUAAAAAGCCUUCUCCAGGAGUUUAAACCUUAAGGAACGGAGCUUUCUAUUUUCCCUGGGGUUUUGCUGCUGCAUCUCCUGGCACUAUGAUUUGGACAAUGACUGGUUUCCUUUGAUAAAAGUUCUACGGGAAAAUAACAGCUGAGUCAGAGAAGGCCACCAGGCUGUGCGGCCCAACAGGGCUGUCCUGGGCAAGGCCGGAGGAGCGCAAAGAGAAAGAAGCCAUAGCCUGUGGUACAGAGGAGCCAAACAGCCCAGCCUGGAAAAGGUGACAAAUUGCUCGUUUCACAUAUAGAAGAAUCAUGUCCUUUCUCCAUCCACCCUCACUUCGACAUGGAUGGCUGGGUAGAAAUGGGUUUUAGCUUUGAUUAGCCAUAGUUGUGAGAGUCAGGGGAGACCAUUCCCAAAUCCCACGGAAUCCCUCUUUAUCCUUGAGUUCUUCCUCUCAAGGUGACAUUCUAUACUCCAGUUACCCCAAUUUCAGAAGGUUGUUAUGUCUUUUCUGUCCCUCUUCCCUUCCCCCUUUUGCUUUUUCUGUAAUGCGGAGCUUUUGGCAAAUAUACCAAAUAGACAAUCCAUUUGCGGCCAAAAUGCACAGUUCAUGUGCAUGCUGAUUGUUUCUGAUGAGUGGAUUGAAACCUUAGCUACUCAGUGUCCUUGAGCAAAAAAGAGCUGAACAAGUGGUGUGUUUCCACAUUACAUAUUGUUGCAAUAACUAAUUCUUAGGUUGCAGCUAUUGUCAUAAUCCUGGAUUCUGGGGGUUGUAGCUCAAUUCGCUCUCCUUAGUCCCUUUCUGCACACACCACUUUGACCGCAUCACAGCGUUUUGUUUAGACCUAUAGCUAGUUUCACAGGGGUUAGAAGCUUGUGUUUGAGAAAUGUGUUUUGCAUUGAUUAAAAUUUCUUAAAGGACAUACUCCGAUUGAAUGACAGGCUAUUUUUUAAUUAUUUACAAGCUCAACAUUUUAUUCAAGGCAAAUUGUCAACUAAAUCUAGUUAUCAUUUCAUCUGCUGGAUCCAUUCCCCCUGAGCAUACCAACCACGAAAAAGAUUAUUUCCUCAAUGUAUUGCUUUAGCAAUUUAGUAGACAUCUUCUUGGCAACCCCCUUCUAGAACUAAAAGGUGAUAGAAAGGCAUUGAUGAGAUUUUGGGGGCAUUUGUUUUCAUCCAAACAAAUUUUUUUCAAUCGCAUCAUGGAAAAAGGCCAUGCCGUGAGGGCUUUUAUUAGAUUUACUUUCUACCAUAAUCAUUCUACUAUGGAAAAAUCAGAGAUUACUUUUCCACUUACCCUUUCCCUGUGUUAUCAAUAAUGAAAGUUGACACUCUUUCCUUUGGUUCCCCUUUACCAUAUACAUAUCACUAUUAUAAUAUCACUGAUACUUACAGUUCUAACCUCUUCUCCAUCUCACUCUUCUUGCCCUUCAAUUCCAUCCACCUGAGACAUUCUUCCUACUGAUCUUUGCUUGGCUUUCUCAUUAUCAUUCAGAUCUUAGCUCAAGUAUUAAUUUUUCUGGGGUCUUCUCAGAGUACCUUAUCUAAUGUUGCUUGUUUGCCCCAUACCACUCUGGCUCAAUCCAUGAUGAUAUCUAUUGUCUUUGCCUCACUUAGCACUCCCUGAAAUGCUCUUAUUAAUUUCUUCUCUCACCAGAAGGUGAGCUCUAUGAAAGCAAGGAUCCCAUUUCUUUGUUUCCCAGGGCAUGUAACAGUGCCUGACAUAUAGCAGGUACUGAAAUAUUUGUCACACGAAUAAAUAAGUGAAUGAUUGCCAUCAAGAAACCUAACUACAUUUCUGCCUAUACUUUUGACUUUCUACAUGACUCUAGACCAACCAUUUUCCCUUUGGACCAGCUGUUUUUCUGCAAACCCAUUAAACUCUAGAUUUCAGGACCAAAGGGACAUUUGGCAACAUCUGGAGACAUCUUUGUUUGUCAUAACUCAGAGUGGGGGUAUUCCUGGCAUCUAGUGGGUGGAGGCCAGGGAUGCUGCUAACCAUCUUACAAUGCAUAGAGCAGCCCCCACAACAAAGAAUUAUCCAGCUCCAAAUCUCAAUAAUGCUGAGGUUGAGAAGCCCUGCCUUAGAGCUAUAAACAGCAACAAUGAGACCUGACUUCUCUUCCUUCUGUCUGAGAAUGAAUAAGGUCCAUGGACAGUUGGGUUUUUUAGGAUUUCUUAGUUUCAAAUUGUCAGUUGGCAAUUUUUUACAACUAAAUCUCUUCUAUUUUUGAAAUAAAUAGCUCUACUAUUUUUAUUUUCCAGAAAUAAAACAUGCUAAUGGCAAAAGACUCCAGGUAAAAUAGAAAGGUAUUACAAAGGAAGAAAAAGUACUGCAUGAUCCUACCACUUGGAGAUAAACAUAGGCACAUGUUCACGUGUAUUUUUGAAGACUUUUUUCUAGGGAUACAUACAUGUUUUUGUCAAAAAUGGAAUAAAGUAUAUAAUAUAUGCUAUUUUGUAAUUAGUUUUACUCACUUUACAGUAUUUUGUGAACAUCUUAUAAAUUUGCAAAUAUGGAACUGUAGCACAAUUUUUACUGGUUGCAUAAUAUUUUGUAGUGUGGAUGAUCCAAAACGCCUUUCACCAGUCUCCUAUUGAUGAGCAUUUAGAUGGUUGCCAAGGUAUUAAUAUUAUAAACCACUUUCAUUGAAAAUCCUUCCUAAUUUAUUUUUUGUGGUUGCUGUUCAUGCUCAAUUUUUCCUUAGUAUAAAUGACUAGAGUAGGAUUGCCAGGGCAAAGGAAAUGUGAUGCAUGUUGUCAAAUUGCCCGCCUGAAGAUUUGCCCAACUACUAAUGGGAACCAAAUAAUUAGAACACUCGGUAUGCUGGAAUUCUCUGUGUCACCCACUUUAAGAUGAGAGAUACAAUUCACAAGGCAAAAAAUUGUGUUUGGCUUGAUUUUUGUUUCUUUUAUGCCCUAGUAUCAGAACAAAUUCAAGCUCAUCUCCUAUACUCAUUUAAAUUUGAUUUAGAAAAAAAAUUAUUAUGGAGGAGGGAAAGGAACACCUCUAAGACCUACUGUGUGCCAUGCACUCUGCUAGGUGCUUCUGUUCUCCCAUAACCUGAGAGGUAAGCCUUCUUUUCCUGCUUGUUGAUGUACUGAGGAUCAGACAGUCUCACUCAAAAUCACAAACUUUAUACCUGCCGGGAUCAGAAUUUGAAUCUAGUUCUUGCCUUUAAGAAAUGCAUAGUUGAGGAGGAAGGGGAAGUGUUUGGAUUGAUUGAUUAAUUAAUUAAUUCGUAUUAAAAAGAAGUUUAUGGUCUACUGUUGGCAAAAUGUGCCAGGGACGCUUUCUAUAUCAUCAUGUAUAAUGAGAAUUGAUGUUCAAAUUAUGACCCUGGGGUUCUUAAGAUCUUAAACCCAUAAACAUAAUCAGUAAUGUUCGUGAUAUUGUACUUAUCAAUGCAGGAAAGUAGACUAAUAUGUAUUGGAAGAAAUAGUCAAUAAAUAAGGUUGAAAAUGCAGAUAUACCAUCUCUUUUUAGUAUUCUAAAAAGUAUCAAAAACUUAAUCAGUUAAUGGAGAUUUGUAUUUGAUAAAUUUCUUAUUCCUAAUGGCCCAAGAAAACUUGCCUGCCAUCAACCUACAAGAUAUACAAUUCAAGUCAAAAAAUAUGCCAUAAAUAUAAAUUCUUUUAGAAAGAAGAAGGGAAGAAAAUCUUUGAGAGAAUAUUACAGUGCUCCCUUGUCUAAACGUUUUCCUAUGUCCUUUUGUUCCCCCUCAUCAGAAUUCUUAAUUCUUCUCCUCAAGCCUGUGUACCCUGAUUAAGCUAUGCCUGAAUCUUCAAAAGGAGCCCAGUUGGCCUGGGCCAAGGCAAAGAGAGUGCAGACAGCUAAUUUUAGAGUGAGAUUUGCAAGAUGGAAGAAAACCUAUUUGGGGAAAAAUAUGUUUCCAUUGCUGUCUGUGAUUUGAUACUCAGCCUUAUCCCAUAAUUCAGCAAUUUGCUUCUGGGCAGUUCAUUAGGAAAACACUUAGGGUAUACAAGUAAAAUCAUCACCACACUUUUAGAUAGAGAACAUUUGGAAACCAAGUAAAUUUUCAACACUGGGGGGUGGCUAAAUAAACUAUGAUACAUACAUACUGUGGAAUAAUAUUCAAUAGUUAAAAGAAUCAGAUUAUAUAUUCUGGAUAUGAAUCUUUUGUUAAAUAUAUGUAUUGUAAGUAUCCUUUGUGACUUGCCGUGUCACUCUCUUAACAGUGAUUGUUGUAACCUCUUUUCUUUGCCUACCCCAUGGUUAGUAAGAUAUCCACUUUCUCUUCAGAAAAACCUUUAUUGUUUUUCUUUUCACAUUGGAAUCUAUAGUCCAUCUAUAAUUUAUUUUUGAAUAUGGUGUGAGGUCGGGGUUCAAAUGUAUUUUUCAUAUGAAUAUCCAGUUGACUCAGCAUGAUUUACUGGAAAGAACCUUUUCCUACUUUUCAUUGCUUUCAGCUUUAUCACAAAUCAAGUGAACAUAUAUGUGUGGAAUUUGUUUUCUUAAUCAUUGAUCUAUUUGUCUAUUCUUAUGCCAAUACCACAUUGCCAUAAUUUUCUGAAGCUUUAAAAUGGGCAAAGUCUUGAACAGACUCUUUAUAAAACAGGCUAUCUAAAUGUCCAAUAACCUUCAUAAAAAAGUGCUCAACCUUAUUAAUCAUCAAGGAAAUGCAUACUAAAUUCAUAAUGAGAUACCACUAUUUAUCUAACAGAAUGGUUAAAAUUAAAAAAAAAAAAAACUGACAAUACCAGUGUUGGCAAGGAUGUGGAGCAAAUGGAAUUCUCAUAUGCUUCUGAAUAUAAAUUGGUGCAGUCAUUUUGGAAAGGUGUUUAUCAGUAUAUACCAAGCUGAAUAUAUGCAUAUCUUGUCACCUAACAAUUCCACUCCUAGAUAUAUAUUCAACAUAUGCCAAAAGACACAACAGUAUUCAUAGUAAAUAUAUUCAUAAUAAUUCCCCCCAACAAAAGCAACCAAAUGUCCAUCAGUAGUAGAUUGGGUAAAAAAUUUAUGUUAAAAAAAGUGAACAAACUAUUGCUACAUGCAAAGCAUGGCUGAAUCUUAUAAGCAUAACAUCCAAAGACAGAAAUUAGACACAAAAGAAUACAUACUCUAUAAUUCCUUUUAUAUAAAGUACACAAACAGGCAAAACUAAUAUAUGAUAAUAAAGAUUAGGUUAGGUUGUUGAUUGGGGACUAGAAACAGAGAGGGGCUGCCAGAGGGGUUCUGUGGUGCUGAUGAUGUUAAAUUUUUUGAUUUUGGUGCUGGUCACUGGGGGAAUGUUCACCUUGUGAAAAUUCCUUGAGUUGUACACUUGUGAUUUGUGCCCUUCUCUGUUGUGUGUUAUACUUCAAUAAAUACUUAUUUAAGAAAUGAA